GCAGCGAAUUGCGAUAAGUAAUGUGAAUUGCAGAUUUCCAGUGAAUCAUCGAAUCUUUGAACGCACCUUGCGCUCCUUGGUAUUCCGAGGAGCAUGCCUGUUUGAGUGUCAUUUUGAAUUCUCAACCAUCUCUUGAUUCAUUUCAAGAUCGUUGGCUUGGAAAUGGGGGCUGCUGGUCAUGGUCUUUGACUUGGAUCAGCUCUCCUAAAAUGAAUUAGCGAUUGGGUAGCCAAGUCUUUCGACGUGCACGGCCUUUCGACGUGAUAAUGAUCGUCGUGGCUGGAGCGUCUUUGAGUUGAAUUCAAUGCCUAUUGCUUAUAACAAUAAUAUAUAUAAUGAGAAUGUAAUGAGGGAAAGGAAUAUGUCCCCCGAGCUUUCAAGCCUUUUCUAGUUACUAGUUGGUCAACGGACCGGCGAACACAGAAAAGUACAAGGCCUGGCCACGUAUCUUCCUUCCUCUUCAUUAUUCAAGACUAGUGUCUCUGACCGUCUUAUUCUCAUAUAUUUAUAUUUUCGAAACUUGACCUCAAAUCAGGUAGGACUACCCGCUGAACUUAAGCAUAUCAAUAAGCGGAGG
rnacentral:rRNA from 1 species